UUUGAGUAUCAUUCAGCUUGAUUAGAGGGCAUUAUUUUAAAGUUUCUGGGUUUUUCCAUUUGUCUCUUGCUGUUUUCUAUGUUCAGCAGAAAUUUUUCGUCCAGACUUUAUUCCUUCCUUCAGUAAAUUUACUUUUGCUAUUUGGGAAAAAGAAAAUUCAUUACCACUUGCACCUUGGUUUGCUAUUUAAAGAAAUUGGUGGUAAUUGUCUUCAGUAAAUGAUUGCAACCUUUAUUUAUUUUGAUUGCCUACAACAUAUAAAUACGACAUAUAAAAGUUGAAAGUUUAUUGGUUUGAAUAGCCGUGCUUGGUAAUAUGUGACUAGCUUUAAAUUAGGCAUGCAUACCAUUGGGCAUCAGACUAUCAGAGAGGUUUAUGCUCAGAUGUCCAUCCUUUUUUGGCCAUUUUCUAACAUUUCGCUUAUUUUUCAUGUAGAUAUUCAAAGGGUCAGGUGGA
rnacentral:misc_RNA from 1 species